UGCGGAAGGCACAUUUCAUGCCCAAUCUUCAUGUUACUUUGUCAAAAUGUUUGUCUUAAUGAUAUCUUGGUUGAGUUCAAAAGUGGUUCUGAUCCGUUGAAAAACAUGGACGCCAGUGGGCGGGGCAGUUUUCCUUAUUUGGUUAUAGAGAAAUCUUGUAAACACUCUAGAAGUCACAAUUUUUGCCCAAAGUUGGUCAAAACAUUGGUUCAAUUGAUGUCUCAGACGAGUUCGAAAAUGGUCAAGAUUGGUGAAAAAACAUGGCCGCCUGUGGGCGGGGCAUUUUUCUCUAUAUGUAUAGAGUGGCAGUUUUCCCUAUUUGGCUAUAGAGAAACCUUGUAAACACUAUAGAAGUCAAAAUUUUUGCCCAAUCAUCAUGAAAGUUGGUCAAAACAUUGGUUUUAUUGAUAUCUCGGACAAGUUUGAAAAUGGUCGGGAUUGGUGAAAAAACAUGGCUGCCAGUGGGCGGGGCAUUUUUCUCUUUAUGUAUAUAGUGAAAACAUGUGAACACAGUAGAAGUCACAUUUUUGGCCCAAUUUUUAUGAAAUUUGCUCAGAACAUUUGUUUCCUUGAUACAAUGUACGAGAGUUGAGUUCAAAAAUGGUUCCAGUCAGUUGAAUAACAUGGCUGCUGGGAGGGGGGGCAGUUUUCUCAUUAUGCCCCCCCCCCUUUCGAAGAAGAGUAGGUAUAUUGUUUUGCUCAUGUCGGUCUGUCCGUCCACCAGAUGGUUUCAGGAUGAUAACUCAAGACCGCUUAUGCCAAGGAUCAUGAAACUUCAUAGGUAAAUUGAUCAUGACUCGCAGAUGACUCCUAUUGAUUUUUAGGUCAUUAGGUCAAGGUCACGAUGACCCGAAAUACUAAAAUGGUUUCCGGAUGAUAGCUCAAGAACACUUAUGCCUAGGAUCAUGAAACUUCAUAGAUACAUUGAUCAUGACUCGCAGAUGACCCCUAUUGAUUUUCAGGUUACUAGGUCAAAGGUCAAGGUGACCCAAAGCAUUAAAAUGGUUUCCGGAUGAUAACUCAAGAAGGCUUAUGCCGAGAUCAUGAAACUUCAUAGCUACAUUGAUCAUGACUCGCAGAUAACCCCUAUUGAUUUUCAGGUCACUAGGUCAAAGGCCAAGGUCACGAUGACCCGAAAUAGUAAUAUAGUUUCCGGAUAACUCAAGAACGUUUAGGCCUAGGAUCAUGAAACUUCAUAGGUACAUUGAUCAUAACUCGUAGAUGACCCUUAUUGAUUUUCAGGUCACAAGGUAAAGGUCACGAUGACCCAAAAUAGUAAAAUGGUUUCCGGAUGAUAACUCAAAAACACUUAUGCCUAGGAUCAUGAAACUUCAUAGGUACAUUGAUCAUGACUCGAAGAUGACCCCUAUUGAUUUUCCGGUCACUAGGUCAAUGGUCAAGGUCACCUGAAAUAGUAAAAUGGUUUUUGUAUAAUAACUCAAGAACGCUUAUGCCUUGGAUAAUGAAAGUUCAUAGGUACAAUUAUCAUGACUCGCAGAUGACCCAUAUUGAUUUUCAGGUCACUAGGUCAAGGUCACCUGAAAUAGUAAAAUGGUUUCUGUAUGAUACCUCAAGAUCGCUUAUGCCUAGGUUCAUGAAACUUCAUAGGUAUAUUGAUCAUGACUCGCAGAUGACCCCUAUUGAUUAUAAGGUCACUAGGUCAAAGGUCAAGGUCACAGUGCCAAAUAACGUAUUCACACAAUGGCUGUCAAGGUCACGGUGACACAACUUAGAAAAAUGUUUUCUAGAUGAUAACUCAAGAUUGCUUACGCCUAGGAUCAUGAAACUUCAUAGGUAUAUUGAUCAUGACUCGCAGAUGAAAUAAUUUGACCACAUGUAUGUAUUCUGCAUUUAUGAUUGUAACUUAAUGUAAGUAAGCAGUACGUGUUAUAUUUGUUUUAUACAUGAUAUUUAUUAUUGUGUUCUUUUUUUUAAUUGUUAACUGCAUAUGAUAGAAGUCAAUUCCAAUUUUUACUUUGUUUAUGUUGUAUGAGAAAUACAUUAUUAAACAUGAAACAGCUCA